CCCAGGCUUCCAUCUCGAUCCCAAGGUUUGAUGCGACACCGGGCGUGUUUGCCUGUUGGCAGCUUCCCCGUCACGUGCACUAGGCCCCCUGGGAGGUGGGUGGCCCUGCCUGCCGCCCCCGAUUGAAGGGCCCAUUCCCCGGGGACUUGGAGCUGUGAGCGCCGCUUGCCUGGCUCGGGAGGGCAGGAGCUGCUGACGUCCCCACGUCUCAGAUGAGGACCCCGAGGCUCGGGUGGCGAGGAGGGAACCCGGGGAAGCUGCCCAGGCCUGUCUGCUUCCAGGUCCCACCCCGGGCCCAUAAGGCCAGGCCCAGCCCGUGUCGGGACAGCAGCCCAGGGAGGGACGCUGUCCCACGGACACUGAGGCCUCGGUGGACCCCAUGCCGGGUGCCGGGAAUAUCCACAUGA
rnacentral:lncRNA from 1 species